rnacentral:rRNA from 1 species
UACGGGGGGGGCAAGCGUUGUUCGGAAUUACUGGGCGUAAAGGGCUCGUAGGCGGCCAACUAAGUCGGAUGUGAAAUCCCCAGGCUUAACCUGGGAACUGCAUCCGAUACUGGAUGGCUUGAAUCCGGGAGAGGGAUGCAGAAUUCCAGGUGUAGCGGUGAAAUGCGUAGAUAUCUGGAGGAACACCAAUAGCGAAGGCAGCUCGCUGGGACGGUAUUGACGCUAAGGCGCGAAAGCGUGGGGAGCAAACAGG